rnacentral:tRNA from 1 species
GUACUAGCUCAGUUGGUAGAGCGCGACCUGGCCAAGGUCGAGGUCACGAGUUCGAGCCUCGUGGACCGCUCCA